CAUGUAGGCGGCCGUGUAAGCAUCUUGUGAAAUCCCCCGGCUCAACCGGGGAACUGCUGGGUGAACUGCACGGCUUGAGGCAGGUAGGGGUGCGUGGAACUCUUGGUGGAGCGGUGAAAUGCGUAGAUAUCAAGAGGAACGCCGGAGGCGAAAGCGGCGCACUGGGCCUGUCCUGACGCUGAGAUGCGAAGGCUAGGGUAGCGAACAGGAUUAGAUACCCUGGUAGUCC
rnacentral:rRNA from 1 species